rnacentral:rRNA from 1 species
GACGAACGCUGGCGGCGUGCUUAACACAUGCAAGUCGAACGGAAAGGCCCGGCUUUUGUUGGGUGCUCGAGUGGCGAACGGGUGAGUAACACGUGAGUAACCUGCCCUUGACUUUGGGAUAACUUCAGGAGACUGGGGCGAAUACCGGAUAGGAUCUCCUGCUGCAUGGGGGGGGUUGGAAAGUUUCGGCGGUUUGGGAUGUACUCGCUGCUUAUCAGCUUGGUGGGGGGGUAGUGGCUUCCCAAGGGUUUGACGGGUAGCCGGCCUGGGAGGGUUAACGGCGUCAUGGGGCCUGCGGUACGGCGCAGAAUGGAACGGGAGGCAGUGGUGGGGAGUCUUGCGGAAUGGGGCGACGCGUGAUGUAGAAACCCCGGGUGCGGGAUACUGGCUUUCGGGUUGUAAACAGCUUUCGCAUGUGCCGAAGCGUGCGUGACGGUACUGGGUCAAGAAGCCCCGGCUAACUACGUG